UCAGAAUAGAGUACUGCUUGCCAAUCCCUUGAGUUUAGCCAGCAAGAACCAUAGUACAUUUGUGCUGUUCUAAGAUACUAGCUUGUGACAAUUUGUUACAGAGGAGCAGAGAUAGGAAAACUAUUAUGGAUAUCCAGGAUUCAUGGAAAUGGAUUGGAGGAAAGGAAGGCAAAGGUGAGAGUAACUGUGAAGAAUGCAGGAGUAUAGUCUCACUUUCAUCCUAUGAUUUGUACUGGUGAGGAGCUGAGUGGGUAGAAGAGUGCCCAGCCUGAAAAGAAGAUUGACCCUGAUGACGUAACAUGAAUUACCAAUAUGGAAGGUAUCAUUUUGUCUGCAGGCAGGCAACUCUGCCAAAAAUAUUUAAAA